rnacentral:rRNA from 1 species
GGAGGAGCUUGCGUCACAUUAGUUAGUUGGUGGGGUAAAGGCCUACCAAGACUAUGAUGUGUAGCCGGGCUGAGAGGUUGAACGGCCACAUUGGGACUGAGACACGGCCCAAACUCCUACGGGAGGCAGCAGUAGGGAAU